rfam:Deltaproteobacteria bacterium GWA2_65_63 gwa2_scaffold_1451, whole genome shotgun sequence.
GGCCCUUUAGCUCAGAUGGUAGAGCAGAGGACUGAAAAUCCUCGUGUCCCCAGUUCAAUUCUGGGAGGGGCCA